GAUUUCCUGUUCUGCAGCAUGGAGAAUGCCGUCCCAGGGCCACAGCCUGUGCUCAGCUGGGCUGUGGUGGGGCUGCACAGAGCUGCAAAGCAGGCAGGGUCCCACAGCGCCUCCAGGGCCUUGGGUUGUGCUUCCUUGGGCUUUAAGUACUGAGAUGAGCUACGUUCAGAGCAGAGUUUGUUUCAUCGUCUGUGUCUGAGAUAGAGCUCGUGUGUGCAGGAUUGUUCCAGUGAAUGAGAGACCACUGGUGUCACUGCCUCAGAGCCACCAGCAGCUCCACUGCUGUGUGGGACACAUCAGCACGAUGGCUGGUCAAACACAUGCCUUCCUGCAAGCAUGUGGGGCUGGGUGAGCACAGAGAGCUGGGAGAUGAAUGUCAGGAACACCUGAGUGAGCUGCUGGUGGAUGCCAUGGUUACGCACCCUGCACAAGGAAUGCAGGACCGCUGCCCUCUGUGUCACCGCAUGGAGCACUGCCUGCGUUCCAACAUGGCACCCAACUCCCCCAGAGGUAACACAGCUCCCGGCCAUGCACACACAGAACCAUGGGCAGGAAAUUCCCAUCUGCCUCCAAGUGGCCAGCUUCUUUCUCGGGCUCUGCACACAGCUCCACAUGGUUUCAUUUUCCUCACCAGCAACAAUAAAUCUGUUUGGGAGAGCGGCUGCUGGGGGGGGAUCUGAGGGCGGUGGGACAGCCCUGCAGCCCACGUGGGGUGGCUGUGCUGGCAGCUCACAAACAAACCCAGCUCUGUCCCAGGGCUCUGCAGAGUGGGGGCAUCGUGGGGCUCUGCUCCUUCCUGCCGCAUCCUCAGCUCUGGCAACAAGAAAUGAAUCUCUGUGGAGCUCAUGGCCCUACAGCUCUGGGAGGUGGCACUUCAAUAAAACUGAUAAAUAAAAGGAACUCGCUGAAAGAAGUUGCUGUGUUAAUGCAGCACAACUGUUCUGCCUCUUUCCUCCCACCCUAUGCCCCCCUGGGUGGAGGUGUAGUCUGAGUGUGCCCGAGGGCACAGACGGUGCUGGCACAGGGGUGGCUGCUCCUCCCGUGCUCUGCUCCAAGGCCAGGCUGCUGAGAGCUGAGCAUUGUCUUCAGAACAGCUCCGGAUUCCAGCAGAACGUCGUUAUGCCUUAUUCAUGUAGGUCUUGUUGACAUCACAUCAAAAUGAUUCUGGCUGUCCUCAUGACGAAGUCUGGAGGUGCUGAGAUGUGAGGGAAAAUGCUUUCUCCUGCCAAUCAACGACUGCAAGUAUUCAGGCUGUCAAAAAGCACUGGCUCGGCUCUGUGUCUCCCCAGCCCAGGCACAUGGGGGGGGGGCAGUGGGAGAGGAGCAGCCGGCCCCACUGCUUGGGGGUAUCCAACUCCAAGUGCCAUCACCUCCUCUUCCUCCUCUUCCUCCUCACCCCCCUCUCCCAGGUGCUGCUGAGCUCAUGCCAGGCCAUGCCAGCUGUGUGCCAGGGCUCUGGGUGUGCCAUGGGGCAUACAGAGACCCCAAGGGAUGGGUCCCAGUGCCCUGUGUCUGUCCUACAGGUCAGCAGCAGAGAGGCACUGCUGGCUGACAGCACAGCGCAGUGUUUGUGGCAAUGAGAAACAGAUUGCUAUCAAGAGGGUUGAUACUAAUAAUAAAGUAACGUCUAAACUUAUUAUUUGUACUUGUGUUCCAGGAUGAAAAACCAUCACCGGCACCUUUGUUGAUGUCUGUUGCUUUGUAAGAACAGCUCCCUCUGAUACUCUCACUUAGACUUUCCCAGGCACCCCGCUGAGGUUUUGAUGUCAGAUUUUCUUUGCGAAUAUUGAACAUGAAAUCUAAACGUUAAUCCUGGGGCCCGGUGACAGCCGAUGCAUGGGUACAGUGAGGGGUACCUGGGGUCUCCAUGCCCCAGGGAGGGCAG